CAGAGUUGCAAAACUCCCAACCAUUGUGAACCUACCUCACCGUUGCUUCGGCGGGUGGCCCGGGGCAACCCAGGCCGCACCGGCCCCUGCUUCGGGGGCCCGGCAAACCCGUCAGAAGACCGAAACCUCUGUAUUACUGGCCUCUCUGAGUAACUUAUACAAUAAGUCA
rnacentral:misc_RNA from 1 species